rnacentral:rRNA from 1 species
GACGAACGCUGGCGGCGUGCUUAACACAUGCAAGUCGAACGAAGUGGCGAACGGGUGAGUAACGCGUAAUCAACCUGCCCUUCAGAGGGGGACAACAGUUGGAAACGACUGCUAAUACCCCAUACUGAAGGAGGGGAUUGCGUCUGAUUAGCUGGUUGGAGGGGUAACGGCCCACCAAGGCGAAGAUCAGUAGCCGGUCUGAGAGGAUUAACGGCCAAAUUGGGACCUAGAAACGGCCCAGACUCCUAACGGAGGCAGCAGUGGGGAAACUUCCGGAAAGGACGAAAGUCUGACGGAGCAACGCCGGGUGAGGUAUGACGGGCUUUGGGUUGUAAAGCUCUGUUAAUCGGGACGCGGUACCGGAACAGAAAGCCACGGCUAACUACGUGCCAGCAGCCGCGGUAAUAC